rnacentral:rRNA from 1 species
AUUGAACGCUGGCGGCAGACCUAACACAUGCAAGUCGAGCGGUAGCACAGAGAGCUUGCUCUCGGGUGACGAGUGGCGGACGGGUGAGUAAUGUCUGGGAAACUGCCCGAUGGAGGGGGAUAACUACUGGAAACGGUAGCUAAUACCGCAUAACGUCUACGGACCAAAGUGGGGGACCUUCGGGCCUCACACCAUCGGAUGUGCCCAGAUGGGAUUAGCUAGUAGGUGGGGUAAUGGCUCACCUAGGCGACGAUCCCUAGCUGGUCUGAGAGGAUGACCGGCGACACUGGAACUGAGACACGGUCCAGACUCCUACGGGAGGCAGCAGUGGGGAAUAGUGCACAAUGGGCGCAAGCCUGAUGCAGCCAUGCCGCGUGUAUGAGGAAGGCCUUCGGGUUGUAAAGUACUUUCAGCGGGGAGGAAGGGUUGCUGGUUAAUAACCAGCGACAUUGACGUUACCCGCAGAAGAAGCACCGGCUAACUCCGUGCCAGCCGCCGCGGUAA